ensembl:lncRNA
AAAAUACUUUAUAGGAAAUAACCCGCCGAUCAAAGACUUCAAGUGGAUUCUUCUUCAUGACAAUGCCUCGUUUCAAGGCUUUCAUUAAAUCAGCUAAUACAAUUCUUACAUGAUGCAUGUUCUUGAUCAGUUUUAAAGGCAUAGACAAUGUAGAGCCAGAUAGCAUUCUGGACUAUAAUAUCCGGAGAGCACAGUGAGUGCUCAGUGGCAUUUUUUUUUUCUUUUGCACAGCCUUGAUCCUAGCACAAUAAUCUGGCCAUAUUCUUUUAUCAAAGUUCAAUAUGCACAUGCAACAACCUUUUCAAAAAUGUAUCAACCCCAUAUGCCAGACUCUUCACUAGCUCUCUUAUAAAGCAAAAUGAGAAAUGCAACAUUCAGAGUAAUUGGCAUUAGUUCAAGGAUUCUUUUCCUAUUAUCUAAAUCUCACUAAAGUGAAUCAAAAAGAGCAGCAGUACGUCAUUCCAGGCAACAGAAAAGAAACAUCUGCAAUCUGUCCUGGUAAAUGGAUCAAUGCAGGCAGACUUAAAUACAAUAUAGCUGAUGAAAGACAAAUACUUAAAAGAAAUUCCCCACUUUAAUUGGCAUUUCAUACCAUCCAAAACAAAGAAAACAUUUUUUUUUUUUUUAAAGGAGGAAACUGUACAUUGGUAGACAAAUCCCAAAACCAUAUCAAAUAUGACUAACUGUAAUGCAUUUUUGUUUUGAGCAUAGCUUAGAACAUUGAUUAAUUUAACCGUUCUCAAUUGUACCUUAAAGUGAAAACCAACUCCCGGACUCCUUGUGAAAAUGAUGAAAGUGAACAUUGUGAACAAGGCAUUUUGUUAAAGCAUAGAAUACAAGCUUCAAACUUUCAAAUCAUCCCAUUAUCAAACAAACAGUAUUUUGAUGUGUAUUCAACACAGUACAGGUUACAAAAUCUCUUAAAAUUCUUUGGGAAUGUUUCAGGUAAACUCUCCCAUUCCUGAUGAAGGCAUUAUUGCAUGCCAUGCAGAAAAAAACAAAACAAAACUACAAUCUAACAACAAAAUGACCAAAAGAACAUAAUGACAGAGACCUUCCCUUCACACAAGUCAUGAGAGUGAAUGGAAGUUGUAGUAUUUAGGAAAAAAAUGCAAUCACAUCCCUAAAAACAUUGUUGUCAUAAGAAAAUAGUAGAUAAAAAUAUUCUCUGCAUUUUACAACAAAGGAGGUACAGGGAGCAUUGGCAAAUGAGUUCAGAGGUAUCGCUUCUACUCUGCUUCUUUUUCCUCUUCGCCAUUCGGCUGUUCCUCUUCACCGUCUGGCUGUUCCUCUGUGCCGUUCGCCUGUUCCUCUGCAGCUGUGGUCUGAAGAUGGAGAAGACAGCAUUCAGCAUUUUGUUCUCUUUGCCACAAUGCAAAUCCUUCGCAGCAUUGGUGAAGAGAAAAAAAAAAAAAAAAACGCAACUUUUCAUACCUCCUCAGCUUUGGCCUCCCCGUUUUCUGCUGGAGCCUCUUCUGUCUCUGCCUGAGGUUCUUCUUUCUUCUCCUCUGGCUUAGCCUUUGCUGGUUUUUUCACAUCUUUCUUGGCAGGUGCCUAAC